UAGGGGCAAGCUUAUGGUGUAUCUGUGUGGCAUAUGAAUGCUCUUUGCUGAGAGUGAGUGAAUUCUUUCUAUUUUUGGUUCCUUGUGUUGAACUUUUUUUAUGUGUGUGGAACUUCUCUCAGAUUUUUUAUGUGAGGGCAUGUGACUUAGGAAGGAAAAGUAAGUCUUCACCGCUGUUAGAGUAACUAGAGUGAGCUUGAGUGUGUCAUAGCAGUAGAGUCUGCAUCUUGGGUAGGAUUGUUGCACUACUUAGGUUGGUUCGCCAAAAUGGCGUGCGGACAUACUUUGGGAAAUGCAGCAACAGUUAGGCCUAGAAGUGUGGUUUAGCUUGCUCGAGGACGAGCAAAGGUUUACAUGUGGGAUGUUGAUAAUAGGUGAAUUUAACUAUAUUCAGGCACUAAAUAAUCACCUUCUUGCAUAGUUUUGGUAAUGAAAGUGAUAACAAAAUGCUCUUAUUGGUGCUUUUCAUGAUUUGUAGGCUAUAUAUGACUAAGGAAGGCUAUGGAGUACUUUUGGAGUCAAAAAUAAAGAAAAAGAAGCCAACUUUGAAAUAUCCCAAGCGAACCACGCAAAAACAGGCUGAAGAAUCAGAGAACUGAUUCUGUCGCAGUUUCACUGCGACCGCUGCAGAACCGCAAUGAGAGAGUGCUG
rnacentral:lncRNA from 1 species